AUAUUUCUUCAGCAACACAUGCACUAAAAUUGGAACUAUAUAGAGAAAAUUAGCAUGGUCCCUACAUAAGGAUGACAUGAAAUGUGUGAAUUAUUCCAUAUGUUG